GAAGUAUAAGCACGUGACCGUACAUACAACAUGUUUUCGACUUCCAAAUAUUUUCCAUUCUCUAUGAUUUUUUUGUAUGUUAACGACACAAGAAAAACUAGGUUUCUAAGUAAAAAAAAAUUGAAUACAAAAAAAAAUGUUUUUUAAAUAAGCGAAGCCUACAAACCUAGAAUAUAUUGUGCUAAAGCGAUCGACAUCAAAAUCAAAGUGAUUUGUUAACAUUUAGUUAGUGGAAACCGUUCUCUCGCGAAAUAGAAUUUCAUAGAAAAAUUACCGUUAUUCCGUUAGGAUCGCAAUCACUUAUGGAAUUUUUCCGGAUAUGCAGCUAAGUUGUGUGUAUAUAUCCUUAAUUAUUGAUAUAAAACUAUAAUACUUAAUAUACUUAUUAACUAUUUUAUGUUUUUAUAACUGCGAGCUUUUUAACUAGGAAAAGGUACCUUUUUUGUAAAUUUAUCAUUAAGUAAAAGUUAAAUAAAAUAAUGAUGUGAAUAUCAUUUACCCAAUUUGCGUAUAAUGCACCCUAUAUAUUUGUAAAAAGUAUUUAUACUUUAUUAUUUUUCCUAUUUGGCGACUCUAUGGAUGCGUGGCUGUCGAUAAUGUCACAUAUGUCAUGUCAUGUGACAAAAAUGAAGUGAUGGUAAAAGAAAACGUCUAUUGAAAAUAAUUUUAUUCAAUUGUGAUUUAGUUUACCUACGGAUGGACGAAUGAACAUUUAAUAUCGUUUUUAUGUUAUCAACAAAUAGUUGCCUCAAAGAAGAUACACACCUUCGAGAAAAAAAGCCAUCAAAGAAGAAGUUGCGUGGAAUGCUACCGGACCCUGCGCGCCACACUCACCAGUCGACAAGCAGAUAAUAAAGUCAAGAAGGUUAACACAUACUGUAUGGAAUGUGACAAAGGGUACUGCCUCCCAUGUUUCAACAAAACACAUAUGUCAUUUUUAAUAGAUGAUAAUAUGAAGUAACACAAUAAUCAUAUAAUAUUCUUUUUUACUAUCAUUAUACCCUCGAUGGAACAUUAUUAAAAAUAUUUUGACACAGUUUGUUGUAUAUCAACCAUAGCUAUGUUUGAUUUUUUUGUAAUCUUUAAUUAUAAUACAAGUUAGGAGCAUUUACAUUUUUUCUUGAAAUGUAUUUGUCGCUCCUAAUUUUUACCCAAUUAAAAAAGUCAAACAUAGGGGCCAUAGCAAUAGCAUAGACAAUAUUCAAAUAGGAAAAUGGGGACUACGUUUGUAUGGAGAUGCGGCCGUGGCCUAUCCUCUUAAGAUGGCUCUUUUAUUGAAGGUUUGAAGGUCGUAUCUCGUAUCGUAGUAGACAUCGUUUACUUCUCACAAUUGAAAAAAAUUAUAUGCUUUCAGGUUAUCAACAAAUAGUUACCUUAAAGAAGAUACACACCUUCGAGAAAAAAAGCCAUCAAAGAAGAAGUUGCGUGGAAUGCUACCGGACCCUGCGCGCCACACUCAGCAGUCGACAAGCAGACAAUAAAGUCAAGAAGGUUAACACAUACUGUAUGGAAUGUGGCAAAGGGUACUGCCUUCCAUGUUUCAAUAAAACCCAUAUGUAAUUUUUAAGAGGAUACAUGAGCUGAGAUUUAAGUAUUUUAAGUGAAUAUAUCCAUCUCGCUAACGGAAACGACUCCUAAAACUAGUGAAAAAUCUUGCGUAAUAAUCGCAAAAAAAACGAUGUUUUGGUACUCGACUGUUUCCUCCUCCAAAACUUAACCAAAUGUAACGAAAUUUUGAGAUCUAAAUUGUAAUGAAAUUAUCUGUGUCGGACUGUUUUGCUUUUUACGCUAAUGAAUGUCAGUUUUCAAUACCAUGCUUUUAUUUGCGGCCUAGUAAAUUAAUAUACCGUUUUUAUGUAUAUUUGAAGUGCACUAGCGCCUUAAAAAAUAAACAUCAAAAAAAUCAAAACAGUCCGACACAGAUAUUAUUAAUAUUAAUUUGUGUUGAAAAAAUCAUUGCUCUAGCUUCAAAAACGACGGAGGAAACAGUCGAGUACGUUUGUAUGGAGAAAUCACCUUGCCUGUUGCCUCUUAAUACCUAGAUUAUAAUAUGAAAUAAAACGAUAAUCAUGUAA